AACCGCCCGCUCGCCAAAAUGGCAGAAAUGGCACGGCGCUUGCACCCGCCUUCGCCCGUCCCCCAGGGCGUCUGCGCGGCGCACCGGGAGCCGCUAACCACCUUCUGCGGCGACGACCUCAGCCUGCUGUGCCCCACCUGCGAGCGCUCGGAGCACUGGGCUCACCGGGUGCGACCGCUGCAGGAGGCGGCGGACGACCUCAAGGCCUGAUGCCUCUUGGGAUUCUCAUGGCACCGCCUGGUCUCCAUCCCACCAGGGGAGGCUGGAGAAGUCACUGGAGCACCUGCGGAAACAAAUGGAGGAUGCGAUGCUGUUCCAAGCCCAGGCUGAGGAAACCUGUGCCUUGUGGCAGAAGAUGGUGGAGAGCCAGCGGCAGAAUGUGCUGGGCGAGUUUGAGAGGCUGCGCCGCCUACUGGCAGAGGAGGAGCAGCAGCUGCUGCAGAAGCUGGAGGAGGAGGAGCUGGAGGUUCUGCCCCGCCUGCGGGAAGGAGCUGCACGGCUAGGCCAGCAAAGCACGCAGCUCGCGGCCCUCGUCUCAGAGCUUGAGAGCCGCUGCCAGCUGCCAGCACUGGGUUUAUUGCAGGACAUUAAGGACGCCCUGUGCAGGGUGCAGGAUGUGAAGCUGCAGCCUCCAGCAGUGGUGCCCAUGGAGCUGAGGACUGUGUGCCGGGUCCCAGGGCUGGUGGAGACCCUGCGGAGGUUCCGAGGUGGGUGUACAGUCCUGGGAGCAGAGCUGCCGAGCCCCAGGACGUAACAUGGACCCAGUAUCUUAGAACACCAGUCGUAGAAACUUCCCUCUGCUUUAGACACUAUACCAUGUAUGAGUGUGUUCUGACCGAGCAUUCUCCACAGGACUGACCGGCUUCAGAUUCUACCUGUAAGACCCAGGAAAGGCCCAUAUUUCCAUUUCCCUGCUCUUACUCCAGAGUCCUCACAACCCCUGUCUAAUGUUAGGUGAUUUGCGAGGUGGCUCACAAAAUCCAGGAGACAUUUUGCUCAGUGUUAACAGUUUGCUAAAGAAUCUGCAGCUAAGGAAGAGGUGGUGGGUGAGGCUGGAGGGCAGCGUGAAGCCUUCCUGCGCUCACUGCACACUACCCUCCUGCACUUUGAGGACUGGCCCCUUGGACCCAACCUUUGAGGAGCUUUAGGGAUGUUCUGUUCUGUGGGCAUAGUAUGCCACACCAUGGUGAGCAAGCUUGACCCCUGACUCCUGUCUUCACUCUGAAGUCAAUGAAUGAGGCUGAACUUUCUUCUGUCGCACAGCUGGCUUGUGGUGGCCAGCACCAUCCUGAAGUGAUCAACAGACCCCACCUGAGCCACCUUAGCAACCUAAGUUCAAGUGAUGAUGUAAGGAGACUCUUAGGAUUGGCAAAGCAGAUUUCAGGUCUUCUCUGGAGCCAGGGGUGGACUCUGCUGUUAAGUCCUGGUUGUCCGGGGGACUGCUGCCUUUGGUUCUAGCCAAAGGUCGACUGUCUGUGGGCCAUGCCAGGCCUAGAGGUAGGUAGACCAGAACCAGCUGGGCUGUGGUCUGGGAGGAAACCCUCCUCCUGAGCAGCUCUGUGUUACCCUGGGAGCCACCAGAAUGCUGUGGGCGUAGGGUACGGCUGCAACCCAAACCCACAGUCUUCUGAUGGAGAUUGAAAGAAGGAACAAAUGUAGACAGUGUUCAGGACAUAUGGGGGCAGAUCAUCCUGGGCUACAUGAACCCUCUCUCACAUAGGAAAUAGGAAUGCAGUCAGAAUGCCGAUACCAGAAGCAGAUGCAGGGCUGCUUUCUAGAGUAUAGAGCUGGGUCUUUUUCCCAGAGGAGGGAGGCUCUCCAUUGGGGCGGAGACCUAUGGCUCCAGCAAAUGGCCACGUGGGCUGCCAGGAAAACUUUGGCUGAUUGCUAGAGCAAUGGGGGUUGACUCGGGAGUCUGGUUGACCUCUGUGUGCUGGGCCAGGAGCGCAUUACCUCUGGCCGCCACUACUGGGAGGUAGAAGUUGGGGACCAAACCAGCUGGGCACUUGGCGUGUGCAAAGAAACUGUCAACAGGAAGGAAAAGGGGGAGCUGUCCGCUGGCAAUGGGUUCUGGAUCCUGGUGUUCCUGGGGAGCUUCUAUAACUCCAAUGAGCGGGCCUUCUCCCCACUACGGGACCCUCCCAAGCGUGUGGGGAUUUUUCUGGACUAUGAAGCUGGUCAUCUCUCAUUCUACAGUGCCACAGAUGGGUCGCUGUUGUUUAUCUUCCCUGAGACCCCCUUCUCAGGUACACUGCGGCCUCUCUUCUCACCUCUGUCCAGCAGCCCAACCCCUAUGACCAUCUGCAGACUGAUAGGUGUUUCUGGGGACACCCUUGGUCCCCAGUGACCCAAACCUUCUAGGAGAGUCCCUUCACCUCUCCUGGUCCUUUGUCCUGGCCAUGCAGAGACCCAGGAGCCAGCUGGCACCCUGUGAAGAUUAGGAGGAGCACACAGUGCCUUUCUGACCACAUGUGGGAAACCACAAGUUCUCAGUCUCAGGCAGUCUGAUUGAGAGUAUAUUGGGCUGGGCUCUGCCCUCAUGCUGGGGAUCAUUCCCACCCCUGAUGCCUCUUAGUGCCCAAAGCUCUCACCAAAGCACUAAGUCCCAUGUGUCACCAGCACCUCAGAUUCUAGGUUCCUGUAAUGCCAUAGACUUUUCCAGAAGUAGUCAAGGCUUGUCCAUGCUGCUGUGAGCAGUCUGGUCUGCCUGCCAAGCACACCACACAGUCCCUGAAGUGAUACUGGGUAAGGUUAGGUAGAGCCAGCUUCAAGCUCACCAGCAUCUCAGGACUUGGUCUAAUACAUGGAAGACUGCUCAGAGCUGCUGGGUGUGGCUACAAAGAGAAAUUAGAAGAUAACAGCCUGAUCCCAGAGAUGAGACAGUCUGGUGGGGGCUAAUCCUAAAGGAGUAUUCAACGUUUGUAUUCAGCACAUAAGGGGCCCAGAAGUAGAACUCAGAAGUGACACUUGAACACACCCUUCUAUUCUGAGACUUGUCUGGUUUUGCCCUCAAAAGGGCUCCCCUGGUGGCUGUGGUACACUGCCCCUGCUUUGCAGACUGAGCUGCACAGUCCGGAGUGCACAGGAGCCAGUAGUGACUGCUUUUGUAUACACUUCCGGGAGUUUUAUAGUCUAUUUAUUGAAAGGGAAACAUUUAAAUAAACUCAUCUGAAAUAGUG
rnacentral:lncRNA from 1 species